rnacentral:piRNA from 1 species
UGCUUUGCGCAGUUACGAAGC